CGCUGGCGGCGUGCUUAACACAUGCAAGUCGAACGGAAAGGCCCUGCUUUUGUGGGGUGCUCGAGUGGCGAACGGGUGAGUAACACGUGAGUAACCUGCCCUUGACUUUGGGAUAACUUCAGGAAACUGGGGCUAAUACCGGAUAGGAGCUCCUGCUGCAUGGUGGGGGUUGGAAAGUUUCGGCGGUUGGGGAUGGACUCGCGGCUUAUCAGCUUGUUGGUGGGGUAGCGGCUUACCAAGGCUUUGACGGGUAGCCGGCCUGAGAGGGUGACCGGCCACAUUGGGACUGAGAUACGGCCCAGACUCCUACGGGAGGCAGCAGUGGGGAAUAUUGCACAAUGGGCGGAAGCCUGAUGCAGCAACGCCGCGUGCGGGAUGACGGCCUUCGGGUUGUAAACCGCUUUCGCCUGUGACGAAGCGUGAGUGACGGUAAUGGGUAAAGAAGCACCGGCUAACUACGUGCCAGCAGCCGCGGUGAUACGUAGGGUGCGAGCGUUGUCCGGAUUUAUUGGGCGUAAAGGGCUCGUAGGUGGUUGAUCGCGUCGGAAGUGUAAUCUUGGGGCUUAACCCUGAGCGUGCUUUCGAUACGGGUUGACUUGAGGAAGGUAGGGGAGAAUGGAAUUCCUGGUGGAGCGGUGGAAUGCGCAGAUAUCAGGAGGAACACCAGUGGCGAAGGCGGUUCUCUGGGCCUUUCCUGACGCUGAGGAGCGAAAGCGUGGGGAGCGAACAGGCUUAGAUACCCUGGUAGUCCACGCUGUAAACGGUGGGUACUAGGUGUGGGGUCCAUUCCACGGGUUCCGUGCCGUAGCUAACGCUUUAAGUACCCCGCCUGGGGAGUACGGCCGCAAGGCUAAAACUCAAAGGAAUUGACGGGGCCCCGCACAAGCGGCGGAGCAUGCGGAUUAAUUCGAUGCAACGCGUAGAACCUUACCUGGGUUUGACAUGGAUCGGGAGUGCUCAGAGAUGGGUGUGCCUCUUUUGGGGUCGGUUCACAGGUGGUGCAUGGCUGUCGUCAGCUCGUGUCGUGAGAUGUUGGGUUAAGUCCCGCAACGAGCGCAACCCUUGUUCACUGUUGCCAGCACGUUAUGGUGGGGACUCAGUGGAGACCGCCGGGGUCAACUCGGAGGAAGGUGGGGAUGACGUCAAGUCAUCAUGCCCCUUAUGUCCAGGGCUUCACGCAUGCUACAAUGGCUGGUACAGAGAGUGGCGAGCCUGUGAGGGUGAGCGAAUCUCGGAAAGCCGGUCUCAGUUCGGAUUGGGGUCUGCAACUCGACCUCAUGAAGUCGGAGUCGCUAGUAAUCGCAGAUCAGCAACGCUGCGGUGAAUACGUUCCCGGGGCUUGUACACACCGCCCGUCAAGUCAUGAAAGUUGGUAACACCCGAAGCCGGUGGCCUAACCGUUGUGGGGGAGCCGUCGAAGGUGGGACUGG
rnacentral:rRNA from 1 species